rnacentral:rRNA from 1 species
UACGUAGGCAGCAAGCGUUGUUCGGAGUUACUGGGCGUAAAGGGUGUGUAGGCGGUUGCUUAAGUUUGGUGUGAAAUCUCCCGGCUCAACUGGGAGGGUGCGCCGAAUACUGAGUGACUCGAGUGCGGGAGAGGAAAGUGGAGUUCCUGGUGUAGCGGUGAAAUGCGUAGAUAUCAGGAGGAACACCGGUGGUGUAGACGGCUUUCUGGGACGGUACUGACGCUGAGACGCGAAAGCGUGGGGAGCGAACAGG